rnacentral:rRNA from 1 species
GUAACACGUGUGCAACCAACCCCGUACCGGGAGAUAACCCGCGGAAACGUGGACUAACACCCCAUAACACCUUUCCCCCGCAUGGGGGGGAGUUUAAAACCCCGGUGGUACGGGACGGGCACGCGCGACAUUAGGUAGUUGGCGGGGUAACGGCCCACCAAGCCGACGAUGUCUAGGGGUUCUGAGAGGAAGGUCCCCCACACUGGAACUGAGACACGGUCCAGACUCCCACGGGAGGCAGCAGUGAGGAAUAUUGGUCAAUGGGCGAGAGCCUGAACCAGCCAAGUCGCGUGAGGGAAGAAUGGUCUAUGGCCUGUAAACCUCUUUUGUCAAGGAAGAAUAAGCGGCACGAGUGCCACCUUGCCAGUACUUGACGAAUAAGCAUCGGCUAACUCCGUGCCAGCAGCCGCGGUAAUACGGGGGAUGCGAGCGUUAUCCGGAUUUAUUGGGUUUAAAGGGCGCGUAGGCGGGACGGCAAGUCAGCGGUAAAAGACUGCAGCUAAACUGUAGCACGCCGUUGAAACUGUCGACCUGGAGACGAGACGAGGGAGGCGGAACAAGUGAAGUAGCGGUGAAAUGCAUAGAUAUCACUUGGAACCCCGAUAGCGAAGGCAGCUUCCCAGGCUCGAUCUGACGCUGAUGCGCGAGAGCGUGGGUAGCGAACAGGAUUAGAUACCCUGGUAGUCCACGCCGUAAACGAUGCUCACUGGAUCUUGGCGAUACACGGCCAGGGUUCAAGCGAAAGUAUUAAGUGAGCCACCUGGGGAGUACGUCGGCAACGAUGAAACUCAAAGGAAUUGACGGGGGCCCGCACAAGCGGAGGAACAUGUGGUUUAAUUCGAUGAUACGCGAGGAACCUUACCCGGGUUUAAAUGCAGGUUGCAUGAGGUGGAAACACCUCUUUCCCUCGGGACUACCUGCAAGGUGCUGCAUGGUUGUCGUCAGCUCGUGCCGUGAGGUGUCGGGUUAAGUCCCAUAACGAGCGCAACCCCUAUCGCCAGUUGCCAUCGGUUCAAGCCGGGCACUCUGUCGAGACUGCCACCGUAAGGUGCGAGGAAGGCGGGGAUGACGUCAAAUCAGCACGGCCCUUACACCCGGGGCGACACACGUGUUACAAUGGCCGGUACAGAGGGCAGCCACGGGGCGACCCGGAGCGAAUCUCUAAAGCCGGUCGUAGUUCGGACUGGAGUCUGCAACCCGACUCCACGAAGUUGGAUUCGCUAGUAAUCGCGCAUCA